CUUAGCAACACAAGAACACGUGACUUCGGGUCAACAAGAUGUCGGACUGGGUUAAGAUGUCAAUGGGUGUCACACUUUUAGGACACUGGCCUGUGAUGGAAGAUGAUGUGGUUUUGAAUAAUUUCCAAUUAAAAGGGAAGAAUGGCUUAUCUUCUGGUAAACGCAUGGAGCCCUGGUGGCUAGGAUGAAUUGAAAGGAGCUCGGACAGCCAGUGAGGAGAUGGAGAGGAGGACUGAGCAUAACAGAGAGAGGG